UCCAUCCAAAGAAAGCACAGACAGUAUCUAUGUGUUUGUUCUAGGCAAUGGCGAAAAACUCAGAGCCAGAACCAGAGGAACGGUUGAACCACAGCCCCAAAGUAGAACUCCAGCCUGUCCACAAGAGCGCCCUGCCUGAUCCUCGGGCUCUUGGAAUUCCUGCAGAGAAGAGCAGGGUGGCCAGCAGAUAGUGAGCAGCUCCCAGGAGCUAGCAACACUUGGCGAUUUGGCUGUAUAUGUGUCCUAGGAGGCACAGAGGGAGCCAGAUCCUGGACAAAAGAACCACCUAGAAAUAACUUGGCAGAAUUCUGAAAAUGAGGUCAUGCUGGGUAAGAAUACCAUUUUUUUUUUUUUCUCAUAGUCAAAGUUAGCUACGGAGUUUCUGUAGUAUUCACUACUCCAGACCUUUUUCAGGUUGAAUUUUUUCUCUCUUUUUCCCUGUCUGUCCUUAUGUUUUUAAACUUUUAUUUCAAUAGUUUUUGGGGAACAAGUAGUAUCUGGUUGCAUGGAAAAGUUCUUUAGUGGUGAUUUCUGAGAUUUUGGCACACCCAUCACCCAAG
rnacentral:lncRNA from 1 species